CCUACGGGAGGCAGCAGUGAGGAAUAUUGGUCAAUGGACGAGAGUCUGAACCAGCCAAGUAGCGUGAAGGAUGACUGCCCUAUGGGUUGUAAACUUCUUUUAUAUGGGAAUAAAAUGUUCCACGUGUGGGAUUUUGUAUGUACCAUAUGAAUAAGGAUCGGCUAACUCCGGGCCAGCAGCCGCGGUAAUACGGAGGGUCCGAGCGUUAUCCGGAUUUAUUGGGUUUAAAGGGAGCGUAGGUGGAUUGUUAAGUCAGUUGUGAAAGUUUGCGGCUCAACCGUAAAAUUGCAGUUGAAACUGGCAGUCUUGAGUACAGUAGAGGUGGGCGGAAUUCGUGGUGUAGCGGUGAAAUGCUUAGAUAUCACGAAGAACUCCGAUUGCGAAGGCAGUUCACUGGACUGCAACUGACACUGAGGCUCGAAAGUGUGGGUAUCAAACAGGAUUAGAUACCCGAGUAGUC
rnacentral:rRNA from 1 species